rnacentral:rRNA from 1 species
GACGAACGCUGGCGGCGUGCUUAACACAUGCAAGUCGAACGGGCCUUGUCCCCUUUUUUUUUGGGGGUGGGGUUAGUGGCGAACGGGUGAGUAACACGUGAGUAACCUGCCCCUCACUUCUGGAUAACCGCUUGAAAGGGUGGCUAAUACGGGGUGUUCUGGCCUGCUCGCAUGGGUGGGUUUGGAAAGAUUCGACCGGUUUGGUUGUUUUGGUGGGGGAUGGGCUCGCGGCCUAUCAGCUUGUUGGUGGGGUGAUGGCCUGCCAAGGCUUUGACGGGUAGCCGGCCUGGGAGGGUGGGCGGUCACACUGGGACUGAGACACGGCCCAGACUCCUACGGGAGGCAGAAGUGGGGAAUAGUGCACAAUGGGCGCAAGCCUGAUGCAGCGACGCCGCGGGAGGGAUGGAGGCCUUCGGGGUGUGAACCUCUUUCGCCAGUGAAGAAGGUCCUGCUCUUUGUGGUGGGGUUGACGGUAGCGGGGUUAAUGAAGCGCCGGCUAACUACGUG